rnacentral:lncRNA from 1 species
CUACCAGUUGUAAAAGUCCUGUGAUUUGUAUAACACUAAGACUUGAAGUUGAUAUUGAAGUAAUUUGCUUUUUUAAGGCAGAAUAGUAUAGGGGCUAAAUUCAUUGACUCAGGACCCAUAUUACUUAGAUGUUAAUCUGUCUCCCUUUCACUGCUUUCUAGGUGUGUGAACCUGAUCCAGUUAUUUACGAUUCUGUGCCUGUUUGCUUGGUUAUACAAUGAAGAUAACAAUAGUUUCCACAUGAUGGUUAAUUGAUGUAAGGUACUUAGAAGGUUGCCUGGUACAUGAGGCUGAAGCAAAAGAAAUUUGGAGAAUGAAAGUGAAUUAACAUUUAUUCAGGACCUACCUGAGAGAGACACUUUAUUAAGCCUAUUAUCUCACUUUUAAUAAGGACAGAGGGAAAUUAGAAUGGAGGAAGAUAUGAAUAUGCAGGAUACCUCAAAUUCAGCCUUGCUUCUAGUCCAAUUCUUAUGGAAAACCCAACCAACAGCUUCUGGAAAACCUAACCAGCAUCUCCAGCAAAACAAGUUUAUAUUCCGUGGCCCAUUUACCAUCUACUCCAGUAAAAAACAAAUUGGUUGGACUGUAUUGCCAUUAUAAGUCUAUUGUAGCAGCAAAUUUUAUGGAAUAACUCAACCAUAAUUACAAAGAAAAACCAACAUAGCAAUAAAGCAAUUUUAAAGAGUAUUUCUUAUUUAGCCCAAAUUUUCUAUUCUUGGAAAAUGGUCAUCCUAAACCCAAGAAGGGUCAGCACUGGCAGGAGACAAACAACAGACUGCUGAUGUGUUUCUUAAAAAGUCACCAUCUUUACAGGAGGACUUGACUCCAGGCUGUAAAAAUGUAUUCUCAGAUUUUACAAGAACAAAAUUCUCUCCAGAGUGGUGAGAGUGUAGAAUAUGUUUUCACAAGAUGGAUCUUCCAGGAGUAUAAAUGAGUGAUUACCCUUUACAUGCAAGGUUUCCACUUGCCUUAGGAAGGUUUGUAGUUUACAUAUAGACUCUGGAAGCACAGGGCUCACUGUUAGAACAAGAACUUUAGUCUACAAAUAGCAUAGCUUAUCCUCUGUUUGGUCUGGUGGGGCAGUGAGUGUGUUGGCACCUUUUUCUUUCAUCAUUGGCUCAUCCGAAGUUCAUGACUAAUUGCUUAAAAGUAUGCAAUCACCUUUUAAUGUAUUUAACUAAUUUUCUUCUUUAUUAUUCUGACA